rnacentral:rRNA from 1 species
GAUGAACGCUGGCGGCGUGCCUAAUACAUGCAAGUCGAGCGAACGGACGAGAAGCUUGCUUCUCUGAUGUUAGCGGCGGACGGGUGAGUAACACGUGGAUAACCUACCUAUAAGACUGGGAUAACUUCGGGAAACCGGAGCUAAUACCGGAUAAUAUUUUGAACCGCAUGGUUCAAAAGUGAAAGACGGUCUUGCUGUCACUUAUAGAUGGAUCCGCGCUGCAUUAGCUAGUUGGUAAGGUAACGGCUUACCAAGGCAACGAUGCAUAGCCGACCUGAGAGGGUGAUCGGCCACACUGGAACUGAGACACGGUCCAGACUCCUACGGGAGGCAGCAGUAGGGAAUCUUCCGCAAUGGGCGAAAGCCUGACGGAGCAACGCCGCGUGAGUGAUGAAGGUCUUCGGAUCGUAAAACUCUGUUAUUAGGGAAGAACAUAUGUGUAAGUAACUGUGCACAUCUUGACGGUACCUAAUCAGAAAGCCACGGCUAACUACGUGCCAGCAGCCGCGGUAAUACGUAGGUGGCAAGCGUUAUCCGGAAUUAUUGGGCGUAAAGCGCGCGUAGGCGGUUUUUUAAGUCUGAUGUGAAAGCCCACGGCUCAACCGUGGAGGGUCAUUGGAAACUGGAAAACUUGAGUGCAGAAGAGGAAAGUGGAAUUCCAUGUGUAGCGGUGAAAUGCGCAGAGAUAUGGAGGAACACCAGUGGCGAAGGCGACUUUCUGGUCUGUAACUGACGCUGAUGUGCGAAAGCGUGGGGAUCAAACAGGAUUAGAUACCCUGGUAGUCCACGCCGUAAACGAUGAGUGCUAAGUGUUAGGGGGUUUCCGCCCCUUAGUGCUGCAGCUAACGCAUUAAGCACUCCGCCUGGGGAGUACGACCGCAAGGUUGAAACUCAAAGGAAUUGACGGGGACCCGCACAAGCGGUGGAGCAUGUGGUUUAAUUCGAAGCAACGCGAAGAACCUUACCAAAUCUUGACACCCUUUGACAAUUCUAGAGAUAGAGCCUUCCCCUUCGGGGGACAAAGUGACAGGUGGUGCAUGGUUGUCGUCAGCUCGUGUCGUGAGAUGUUGGGUUAAGUCCCGCAACGAGUGCAACCCUUAAGCUUAGUUGCCAUCAUUAAGUUGGGCACUCUAAGUUGACUGCCGGUGACAAACCGGAGGAAGGUGGGGAUGACGUCAAAUCAUCAUGCCCCUUAUGAUUUGGGCUACACACGUGCUACAAUGGACAAUACAAAGGGCAGCGAAACCGCGAGGUCAAGCAAAUCCCAUAAAGUUGUUCUCAGUUCGGAUUGUAGUCUGCAACUCGACUACAUGAAGCUGGAAUCGCUAGUAAUCGUAGAUCAGCAUGCUACGGUGAAUACGUUCCCGGGUCU